UACAGAGGGCGCGAGCGUUGUCCGGAAUCACUGGGCGUAAAGGGCGCGUAGGUGGCUGGCAAAGCGUGCGGUGAAAGCCCGGGGCUCAACCCCGGGUCGGCCGUGCGAACUGGUCAGCUCGAGCAUGGUAGAGGCGGGUGGAAUUCCGGGUGUAGCGGUGGAAUGCGUAGAGAUCCGGAAGAACACCGGUGGCGAAGGCGGCCCGCUGGGCCAUGGCUGACACUGAGGCGCGACAGCGUGGGGAGCAAACAGG
rnacentral:rRNA from 1 species